rnacentral:rRNA from 1 species
CCGAAAGCUAUUUAGGUAGCGCCUCGUGAAUUCAUCUCCGGGGGUAGAGCACUGUUUCGGCAAGGGGGUCAUCCCGACUUACCAACCCGAUGCAAACUGCGAAUACCGGAGAAUGUUAUCACGGGAGACACACGGCGGGUGCUAACGUCCGUCGUGAAGAGGGAAACAACCCAGACCGCCAGCUAAGGUCCCAAAGUCAUGGUUAAGUGGGAAACGAUGUGGGAAGGCCCAGACAGCCAGGAUGUUGGCUUAGAAGCAGCCAUCAUUUAAAGAAAGCGUAAUAGCUCACUGGUCGAGUCGGCCUGCGCGGAAGAUGUAACGGGGCUAAACCAUGCACCGAAGCUGCGGCAGCGACGCUUAUGCGUUGUUGGGUAGGGGAGCGUUCUGUAAGCCUGUGAAGGUGUGCUGUGAGGUAUGCUGGAGGUAUCAGAAGUGCGAAUGCUGACAUAAGUAACGAUAAAGCGGGUGAAAAGCCCGCUCGCCGGAAGACCAAGGGUUCCUGUCCAACGUUAAUCGGGGCAGGGUGAGUCGACCCCUAAGGCGAGGCCGAAAGGCGUAGUCGAUGGGAAACAGGUUAAUAUUCCUGUACUUGGUGUUACUGCGAAGGGGGGACGGAGAAGGCUAUGUUGGCCGGGCGACGGUUGUCCCGGUUUAAGCGUGUAGGCUGGUUUUCCAGGCAAAUCCGGAAAAUCAAGGCCGAGGCGUGAUGACGAGGCACUACGGUGCUGAAGCAACAAAUGCCCUGCUUCCAGGAAAAGCCUCUAAGCAUCAGGUAACAUCAAAUCGUACCCCAAACCGACACAGGUGGUCAGGUAGAGAAUACCAAGGCGCUUGAGAGAACUCGGGUGAAGGAACUAGGCAAAAUGGUGCCGUAACUUCGGGAGAAGGCACGCUGAUACGUAGGUGAAGCGACUUGCUCGUGGAGCUGAAAUCAGUCGAAGAUACCAGCUGGCUGCAACUGUUUAUUAAAAACACAGCACUGUGCAAACACGAAAGUGGACGUAUACGGUGUGACGCCUGCCCGGUGCCGGAAGGUUAAUUGAUGGGGUUAGCGCAAGCGAAGCUCUUGAUCGAAGCCCCGGUAAACGGCGGCCGUAACUAUAACGGUCCUAAGGUAGCGAAAUUCCUUGUCGGGUAAGUUCCGACCUGCACGAAUGGCGUAAUGAUGGCCAGGCUGUCUCCACCCGAGACUCAGUGAAAUUGAACUCGCUGUGAAGAUGCAGUGUACCCGCGGCAAGACGGAAAGACCCCGUGAACCUUUACUAUAGCUUGACACUGAACAUUGAGCCUUGAUGUGUAGGAUAGGUGGGAGGCUUUGAAGUGUGGACGCCAGUCUGCAUGGAGCCGACCUUGAAAUACCACCCUUUAAUGUUUGAUGUUCUAACGUGGACCCGUGAUCCGGGUUGCGGACAGUGUCUGGUGGGUAGUUUGACUGGGGCGGUCUCCUCCUAAAGAGUAACGGAGGAGCACGAAGGUUGGCUAAUCCUGGUCGGACAUCAGGAGGUUAGUGCAAUGGCAUAAGCCAGCUUGACUGCGAGCGUGACGGCGCGAGCAGGUGCGAAAGCAGGUCAUAGUGAUCCGGUGGUUCUGAAUGGAAGGGCCAUCGCUCAACGGAUAAAAGGUACUCCGGGGAUAACAGGCUGAUACCGCCCAAGAGUUCAUAUCGACGGCGGUGUUUGGCACCUCGAUGUCGGCUCAUCACAUCCUGGGGCUGAAGUAGGUCCCAAGGGUAUGGCUGUUCGCCAUUUAAAGUGGUACGCGAGCUGGGUUUAGAACGUCGUGAGACAGUUCGGUCCCUAUCUGCCGUGGGCGCUGGAGAACUGAGGGGGGCUGCUCCUAGUACGAGAGGACCGGAGUGGACGCAUCACUGGUGUUCGGGUUGUCAUGCCAAUGGCACUGCCCGGUAGCUAAAUGCGGAAGAGAUAAGUGCUGAAAGCAUCUAAGCACGAAACUUGCCCCGAGAUGAGUUCUCCCUGACCCUUUAAGGGUCCUGAAGGAACGUUGAAGACGACGACGUUGAUAGGCCGGGUGUGUAAGCGCAGCGAUGCGUUGAGCUAACCGGUACUAAUGAACCGUGAGGCUUAACCUU